UCCGAGGCCCCGUAAUCGGAAUGAGAACAUCCUAAAUCCUUUAACGAGGAUCUAUUGGAGGGCAAGUCUGGUGCCAGCAGCCGCGGUAAUUCCAGCUCCAAUAGCGUAUAUUAAAGUUGUUGCGGUUAAAAAGCUCGUAGUUGGUUCUGCGUGCCACGCUGUCGGUUCACCGCCUGUCGGUGCAACUGGCAUGCCGUGGCAUGUCCUGUCGGUGGCGUGCAGGCUUCGCGGCGCUCCCUGCAUGAUACGUUGUGUAGGUCGUCGAGUAGUCCUCGUACGCCGUCUCAAUCCUGCCGCGGUGCUCUUUACCGAGUGUCGAGGUAGGCCGGCACAUUUUACUUUGAACAAAUUAGAGUGCUUAAAGCAGGCUCUUAAAUCAGCCUGAAUAGUGGUGCAUGGAAUAAUGGAACAGGACCUUGGUUCUAUUUUGUUGGUUUUAGGAAUCCAAGGUAAUGAUCAAUAAGGACAGGCGGGGGCAUUCGUAUUGCGACGUUAGAGGUGAAAUUCUUGGAUCGUCGCAAGACGCACUAGAGCGAAAGCAUUUGCCAAGUAUGUCUUAAUUGAU
rnacentral:rRNA from 1 species